rnacentral:rRNA from 1 species
CCUACGGGUGGCAGCAGUGAGGAAUAUUGGUCAAUGGACGAGAGUCUGAACCAGCCAAGUAGCGUGAAGGAUGACUGCCCUAUGGGUUGUAAACUUCUUUUAUAUGGGAAUAAAAUGUUCCACGUGUGGGAUUUUGUAUGUACCAUAUGAAUAAGGAUCGGCUAACUCCGUGCCAGCAGCCGCGGUAAUACGGAGGAUCCGAGCGUUAUCCGGAUUUAUUGGGUUUAAAGGGAGCGUAGGUGGAUUGUUAAGUCAGUUGUGAAAGUUUGCGGCUCAACCGUAAAAUUGCAGUGGAAACUGGCAGUCUUGAGUACAGUAGAGGUGGGCAGAAUUCGUGGUGUAGCGGUGAAAUGCUUAGAUAUCACGAAGAACUCCGAUUGCGAAGGCAGUUCACUGGACUGCAACUGACACUGAGGCUCGAAAGUGUGGGUAUCAAACAGGAUUAGAUACCCUUGUAGUC